rnacentral:rRNA from 1 species
UUUAAAAGACCUAGUAAUAGGUAUGCUUUAGGAGGGGCUUGCGCCAUAUUAGUUAGUUGGUAGGGUAAUGGCCUACCAAGACGAUGAUGUGUAGCUGGACUGAGAGGUUGAACAGCCACAUUGGGACUGAGACACGGCCCAAACUCCUACGGGAGGCAGCAGUAGGGAAUUUUCGGCAAUGGAGGAAACUCUGACCGAGCAACGCCGCGUGAAUGACGAAGUACUUCGGUAUGUAAAGUUCUUUUAUCAAGGAAGAAAAGCAAAUGGCGAACCAUUUGUUUGCCGGUACUUGAUGAAUAAGCCCCGGCUAAUUAUGUGCCAGCAGCCGCGGUAAGACAUAAGGGGCAAGUGUUAUCCGGAAUUAUUGGGCGUAAAGGGUGCGUAGGCGGUCUAGUAAGUCAGUGGUGUAAUGGCAACGCUUAACGUUGUCCGGCUAUUGAAACUGCUAAACUUGAGUUAGAUAGAGGCGAGUGGAAUUCCAUGUGUAGCGGUAAAAUGCGUAAAUAUAUGGAGGAACACCAGAGGCGUAGGCGGCUCGCUGGGUCUUAACUGACGCUGAGGCACGAAAGCGUGGGGAGCAAACAGGAUUAGAUACCCUGGUAGUCCACGCCGUAAACGAUGAGUACUAAGUGUCGGGUUAAACCGGUACUGAAGUUAACACAUUAAGUACUCCGCCUGAGUAGUACGUACGCAAGUAUGAAACUUAAAGGAAUUGACGGGACUCCGCACAAGCGGUGGAUCAUGUUGUUUAAUUCGAAGAUACCCGAAAAACCUUACCAGGUCUUGACAUGUUUUUGCAAAAUGAUAGUAAUAUCGUGGAGGUUACCAGAAACACAGGUGGUGCAUGGUUGUCGUCAGCUCGUGUCGUGAGAUGUUAGGUUAAGUCCUAAAACGAGCGAAACCCUUAUCGUUAGUUGCCAGCACGUUAUGGUGGGGACUUUAACGAGACUGCCAAUGAUAAAUUGGAGGAAGGUGAGGAUCACGUCAAAUCAGCAUGCCCCUUAUGACCUGGGCUACAAACGUGAUACAAUGGCUGUUACAAAGGGUAGCUGAAACGCAAGUUCUUGGCCAAUCCCCAAAAACAGUCCCAGUCCGGAUUGAAGUCUGCAACUCGACUUCAUGAAGUUGGAAUCGCUAGUAAU